GUUGUGGCUUAGUGGUAGAACGCUCGCCUAACACAUGUGUGGCACUGAGUUCGAUCCUCAGUAUCACA
rnacentral:tRNA from 1 species